rnacentral:rRNA from 1 species
UACAGAGGUGGCAAGCGUUGUUCGGAAUUACUGGGCGUAAAGCGCUCGCAGGUGGUUCGAUGCGUCGUGCGUGAAAGCCCCCGGCUCAACUGGGGAGUGUCGUGCGAUACGGUCGAACUGGAGGCCAGUAGGGGGAUGCGGAAUUCCGGGUGUAGUGGUGGAAUGCGUAGAGAUCCGGAGGAACACCAGCGGCGAAGGCGGCAUCCUGGACUGGUCCUGACACUCAUGAGCGAAAGCGUGGGGAGCGAUCCGG